UAGGGAAUAUUGGUCAAUGGGUGAGAGCCUGAACCAGCCAUGCCGCGUGCAGGAAGAAGGCCUUCUGGGUUGUAAACUGCUUUUGCCGGGGGAUAAAAUGGCUUUGCGAAGCUAAUUGAAGGUACCCGGUGAAUAAGCCACGGCUAACUACGUGCCAGCAGCCGCGGUAAUACGUAGGUGGCAAGCGUUGUCCGGAUUUAUUGGGUUUAAAGGGUGCGUAGGCGGUUCUAUAAGUCAGUGGUGAAAUACUCCGGCUCAACCGGAGAGGUGCCAUUGAUACUGCAGAACUUGAGUACAGACGAGGUAGGCGGAAUUGACGGUGUAGCGGUGAAAUGCUUAGAUAUCAAGAGGAACACCUGAGGUGAAGACGGGUUGCUGGGCUGACACUGACGCUGAGGCGCGAAAGCCAGGGGAGCAAACGGGAUUAGAUACCCCUGUAGUCCCUGAGCGGGCUGGCAAGGCGCAU
rnacentral:rRNA from 1 species